UCACGGGAACAGUCGAGCAUUCAGGGCAGGAGCGGGGGACCCAGGUAAGCCGCCGUCCGGGAACACCGGACGGCUCGGGGUGAAGCCGUGCCCGCCGCCCGCGCAUCGCACAGCGCGGCGGCGGCGGACCGCGGCCGGGCAUCUCCUGCCCGAACCCGACAGCUCACCUCGCAGGCGUAGGAGAGGAAUU
rnacentral:sRNA from 2 species